rnacentral:rRNA from 1 species
UGGGGAAUCUUGCGCAAUGGGCGAAAGCCUGACGCAGCAACGCCGCGUGUGUGAUGAAGGUCUUCGGAUCGUAAAGCACUGUCGCGAGGGACGAAUAAGUGCUGGGUGAACAAUCCAGUGCGAUGACGGUACCUCGAGAGGAAGCACCGGCUAACUCUGUG